GCCCUCGCCGUGGGCGCACCCCGGUUUGUCACCGCGUGGCGUCUUCGCCAACGCUGGAACUGCAUUUCCCAAGAUGCACAAAAGCGUCGUCUGCGGCCUACUGGGCCUUGAUGGCGCUACUGUCGCGGGUUCGCUGAGCGCAUCAGGCUUUGGACUACAUUUCCCGGAAUGCACGAAGCGGCUUCCCAGUGGUCUCCGCGCGGACCCUGGGCAUGCGCAGACGUGCCGGGAAAGAGGAGGAGGAGGUGCCAUGGCGGCGUUGCGGUGGAGACCGAGGGAGGCCGGGUAUCGGCUGGGCAUUUGGUAGGUGGGGCCUCUGGAGCUCUAGAAGCUGGCAAGCGAAGAGGGGGAGGAGGAGACCAGGCUACAGUUCUGCGCCAAUCAGGAGUGCAGGCUACGUUUCCCUCCUUGAUUACGGAUUGCAAUUUUUUUUCUUGUCCUCCCUCUCCACCCGGGCAGAACUUAAGGAUCGAUGUCGGUUCCAGGAAUCAGGACGUUUGGAGCAGGGCCUGGGAUUCUGCAUUUCUGACGGGUCCGUGGAUGCUGCCAGUGCCUCCUCCCAGGGCCCAGCUAUGUCUGGGAGUAGAGAUGAAGGUUGAGCAUGUUUCUCCAAGCAAAGCACCCAGCAGAAUGUCCAGGACAUGAUGGAAACUCAGGAAGUCACUGUUGAUGAUCAUGCUGCAGCUGUUCCCGUCACUGGGCCUAGGGCCACACCCUCAGGAGGAAACCGUGAGGAAAGCUCUAAAGGAGCUGCAGCCCAUGCCCCCCACCAGGGACCUCCGACCUUCGAGAUUACUACAGAGCUGUGUGGCUGUUCCCCUCGCUCACCACUCAAUCAAUGUGCCAUCCAAAACGGGGCUUUCCUGGAAGACGUCUAGAGACACUCACUCAAGGAAAGGAAGAGUGGAACACCCAGCCCUCAGGAAGGUUAGGCAGAGAGGAGGCCGCUGCCUACGGCCUGGGCACAGAACUCAGCCGGGAUGUUGUUUCUCUCCAGCUCUCACCUCUCUGAGGCUUCAUUGUCUCCUCCUGCAGACUGGCUUCCUCCCCAUGGUGCGAAACAAGGCUGCCGUGAGCUUUGCAGCCUCUCACAUCUCGGCAUCUGGGCCAGAGCAGUGGACUCUCCAGAGAGAAGCAUCCAGAGAAAGCCACUGAUGGGCCACGUUGAGUGGGACGAAGCGGUUACAGCCACUCUGGAUUCUCUGCAGACUUACCGACACCCCUGCACCCAAUUUUAUUCAGUCUUGAGGAUUGAAAUUCCAUCUAGAUGCUGAUACAUCCCUGAAAGGGAGCUUUGCCGUUUUUGCUACCUAGCAGCUGAAAACUCUGUAUUAGUUAGGGAAGGCGGAAGCUGCUGUAACAAACCCACCCAUGGUAAUGGCACAUCACAUUACAGGGGUACUUCUUUUUCCUUUAAAAACAGUUUAAAGCGUAGAAAGAUAUACAUCUAUAUAUAUUACAAAAUUAAAUGUCUUAACUAUUUUUUUCCCUGGUGGGGGGAUGGAGUUUCACUCUUGUCACCCAGGCUGCAGUGCAGUGGCGUGAUCCUGGCUCACAGCAACCUCUGCCUAUCAGGUUCAAGCGAUUCUCCUGCCUCAGCCUCCCAUAUAGCUGGGACUACAGGCAUGCAACACUAUGCCCAGCUGAUUUUUGUAUUUUUAGUAGAAACGGGGUUUCACCAUCUUGGCCAGACUGGUCUCGACCUCCCAAAGUGCCGGGAUUACAGGUGUGAGCCACUGCACCUGGCCAUGGCUCAACUAUUUUUAGCUGUGCUGUUCAGUAGUGUUAAACCAUUGACAUCUUGUGCACCCACCACCCCCAUCCAUUUCCAGAACUCCUCUCAUCUUGCAAAACGGAAACUCUGUCUCCAAUAAACGCUAUCUCCCCAUUCCCUUCCCCCAGCCCCUGGCAACCCCCAUUCUACUUUCUGUCUCUAUGACUGUGACUCCUCUAGGUACCUCAUAUAAGUGGAAUCAUAGAGCAUUUGUCCUGUGUGACUGGCUUAUUUCUCUUACCAUCACGUCCUCAAGGUUCAUCCAUGUUGUAGCAUGUGUCAGAAUCGUCUUUCUUUUUAAGGCUAAAUAAUAUUCCAUUGUAUUUAUUUAUUUUUUUCUUUUCCCCCUCUAAGGUGUGUUAGCAAGUAGAGUAUUUAUUUUUAUUUUAUUUUCUUGAGACAGUCUGGCUCUGUCGCACAGGCUGGAGUGCAGAGGCGUGAUCUCGGCUCACUGUAGCCUCCACCUCUCGGGUUCAAGUGAUUCUCCUGCCUCAGCCUCCUGAGUAGCAGGGAUUACAGGCACCCACCACUGUGCCCUGCUAAUUUUUGUAUUUUUACAAAAUAGUAGUAAGACAGGGUUUCACCAUGUUGGCGAGGCUGGUCUCAAACUUCUGACCUCAUGAUCCUCCCGCCUCCGCCUCCCAAAGUGCUGGGAUUACAGGUAUGAGCCACUGUGCCCGGCCUGGGCAUACAUGUUUCUUAAGAGCCUUGGCUUGGAAGAGGCCUGUAUUACUUCCAUCCCAUCCCAUUGGCGAGAAGCAAUCACAAGGCCACGCUUAGACGCCAAGAGGAGUGGAAACCUAAGCCAUGGAUGGGAAGCAGCGUCCCGGGAAGGAUUUGGUACUGUGGAAGGGAAGGACAGAUGUUAACUGUGAACUGGCCAUGUCUGCUGCAACCCAUCCCACGUUUGGGAAACGUGCCGCUAUUGGUUUGGUUGUCUUAAGAGAGAGACUCAGAAUUAGCAAUGGUUUCAGUGAGUGUGAACGUGAUUUCUCUCCCGUAAGGUCUCAGCUGGCAGGGAGCCUCUCUCACGGAGCCAGGCAGUGUCCAGCUGGCUCCUUCUGUCUUGUUUCUCCUCCAUUCUCAGGGUUGGCUUCCACCUGGGGUGCCAAGGUAGCGGUUCCAGAUCUCGCCGUCAGGUUGUCAGUUUGCCCAGUGAGGAAGGGGCGUGAGCUGGGAGAGGGGGAGGCUGUCCCUCCCAACCACCAGGUCAUUGCAGGACACCCACCGAAUGAUCUGAUUCAGAGGAGCAGCAGCACGCGGCUUUUCCUACGCACGGCUUUCCUCGUGUGCGGUUCAUACCUUUCAUAGUUUGUGUCUAUUCUAAUAGCACUUCCCUCUGUUCUUUUUUCCUCUUUUUCUGAGACAGAGUCCCGUUCUGUUGCCCAGGCUGGAGUGCAGUGGGGUGAUCUCAGCUCACUGUAACCUCCGUCUCCUGGGUUCAAGUGAUUCUCCUGCCUCAGCCUCCCGAGUAGCUGUGAUUACAGGUGAGCGUCACCACACCCAUCUAAUUUUUGUAUCUUUAAGUAGAGACUGGGUUUCACCAUGUUGGUCAGGCUGGUCUCGAACGCCUGACCUCAAGCGAUCCAUCCACCUCGGCCUCCCAAAGUGCCGAGAUUACAGGCGUGAGCCACCAUGCCUGGCCACACGUCCUUAUGUUCUAAGGUAUAUUUAAAAAUUUACCUUUGUGAUACUUCAACGAGGGACGCAGACAUCUUCCUAUUGACACACAAAUUUAAUACAGCACGGUCGCCCCCACCCCACGGAAAGAUGCUAUUAAAUCAAUAAUGCACAUCUUAUGACUGAUGCUGACUGAGAUUUGAGGGUGCACAGUAGCCGCAGCAAUAGACUUUAAAUAACACUAAUAAGUAAUAAGGCCCACUAACAUUUGUGUGAGUUUACUACAAGGCCAGUAAUGAGUCCAGGUCCCCUGCGAACCCAGAUGCCUCAGUUACCGGAUGGAGAGUGCUGCGCUUGGGGGCGGGGGGGACACCGCCCUCGACACCCGGAGGUCUCCGCCUAACGGGCCCAGCCCGCACCGAUAAAGAAUUAGCAGCUUUUACACGUACUACUUCACAUGUGAUCUUACUUUUCCCCAUUUCGCAGAUGAGAAACUGAGGCUGAGAAAGGCGUUAUUCCACAAGCGAACUGUAGCUUCCUGUAUUUCUGACUCCCAAUAAAGGUGAUAAUAAAACAAUUAUAA